GUCCCAAUCAAUAACAUCAUCUAAUAGCAGACAGCUAAAGGGAGACAAGUUUUUAAAGUGCUUAUAUACCAAUGCUAGAAGUCUAAAUAAUAAGAUGGGUGAACUAGAGUGCCUCGU